rnacentral:rRNA from 1 species
AGGACAAACGCUGGCGGAAUGUAUUAGGCAUGCAAGUCGUACGAACCUUCGGGUUAGUGGCGAACGGGUGAGUAACACGUGGGUAACCUGCCUCGUAGUGGGGAAUAACUCGCCGAAAGGCGAGCUAAUACCGCAUAACACCUCUGGUGAGAUUCCAGAUGGUAAAAGCUCCGGCGCUACGAGAGGGGCCCGCGGUCGAUUAGCUAGUUGGUGGGGUAACGGCCUACCAAGGCGACGAUCGAUAGCUGGUCUGAGAGGAUGGUCAGCCACGACGGGGACUGAGAUACCGGCCCCGACUCCGUACGGGAGCAGCAGACUAAGAAUCUGCGCAAGUGGGACGAAGCCUGACGCAGCAAGUUCCGGAGGUGGGGGACGAAGGUCCGUUCGGGUACCGUUAACCCCUUUGGACCGAGGAAGAGUACGUA